rnacentral:rRNA from 1 species
CAACAGCUAGAGUUUGAUCCUGGCUCAGGAUGAACGUUGGCGGCGUGCCUAAUACAUGCAAGUCGAACGAAGACUGUAGUAAUACUGUCUUAGUGGCGAACGGGUGAGUAACGCGUGGGUGACCUGCCCCGAAGUGUGGGAUAACAGUCCGAAAGGAUUGCUAAUACUGCAUAAUAUCCAAGAGAUUAGACGCUUUUGGAUUAAAGGAGUAAUUCGCUUCGGGAGGGGCCCGCGUCCCAUCAGCUAGUUGGUAAGGUAAUAGCUUACCAAGGCGAAGACGGGUAGGGGACCUGAGAGGGUGAUCCCCCACAAUGGAACUGAAACACGGUCCAUACACCUGCGGGUGGCAGCAGUAGGGAAUAUUGCUUAAUGGGCGAAAGCCUGAAGCAGCAACGCCGCGUGGACGAAGAAGGCCUUCGGGUUGUAAAGUUCUUUUAUAUGGGAUGAGGAAGGACAGUACCAUAUGAAUAAGUCUCGGCUAAACUACGUGCC